rnacentral:lncRNA from 1 species
ACGUCCUGCGAUAUUACGAGUAAUAUCAACUUCUUGGCUUCUGAAUAUGAGGAAGAAUAUCACAGGGGGUCCGAAUGCAGCCGGGAUCACAAAGAAAGCAGGUCGUUUGCAAUCUACCGGAGCCUAAGGGCAGAAGGCAGGAUCGUGGGAACAAUAUCCCAGGGGGGUGUACCCUUUCUGCCAUAUAUGUAGUCACAUCACCCACUCCGCCUUGGAAUAUUAUUAAGGACCAUCUAACACGAGGGUGUAUACGUCCUGUGAUAGUGGGAGUAAUAUCAACUUCUCGGCCUCUGAAUAUGAGGAAGAAUAUCACAGGGAUAUUAAUAACAAUUUCACAGGCUGGGUGAACACAGCCGGCGAUGCUGAAAUUAGUAUCAUCCUCUACCCCUCUUCCCCUCCUGGCUCUCAGUCCCCGCCUCACGGGUUAUGUAGCGGGUUAUGGCAAGAAGACAAACUGCAGUUUCCUGCACAGAACAGCACAAACAAUGAUCCAAGCUCAGUUACAACACAAUAUUGGUCAUCAUUUGACAAUGGACUUCAUAUCAACCCUUAGAAAUGUUCCUAAAACAGUCUUAGAAUCUCAAGUGACUCUGACUCUACAGUCUAUUGAAUGUGCAUUCAGCUGCCUGAAAUCAGAAAUGACGGGAAUCCAUACAGUGAAAUUGAGCCCAGCUUCAAAGAACAUCCCAACAACAUACGCAGAAAAGCUUGACUGUUUGCAUAUCC